UACGGAGGGUGCAAGCGUUAUCCGGAUUCACUGGGUUUAAAGGGUGCGUAGGUGGGCUGGUAAGUCAGUGGUGAAAUCUCCAGGCUUAACUUGGAAACUGCCAUUGAUACUAUCAGUCUUGAAUACCGUGGAGGUCAGCGGAAUAUGUCAUGUAGCGGUGAAAUGCUUAGAUAUGACAUAGAACACCAAUUGCGAAGGCAGCUGGCUACACGAAUAUUGACACUGAUGCACGAAAGCGUGGGGUUCAAACAGG
rnacentral:rRNA from 1 species